GACGAACGCUGGCGGCGUGCUUAACACAUGCAAGUCGAACGGAAAGGCCCUGCUUUUGUGGGGUGCCCGAGUGGCGAACGGGUGAGUAACACGUGAGUAACCUGCCCUUGACUUUGGGAUAACUUCAGGAAACUGGGGCUAAUACCGGAUAGGAGCUCCUGCUGCAUGGUGGGGGUUGGAAAGUUUCGGCGGUUGGGGAUGGACUCGCGGCUUAUCAGCUUGUUGGUGGGGUAGUGGCUUACCAAGGCUUUGACGGGUAGCCGGCCUGAGAGGGUGACCGGCCACAUUGGGACUGAGAUACGGCCCAGACUCCUACGGGAGGCAGCAGUGGGGAAUAUUGCACAAUGGGCGGAAGCCUGAUGCAGCAGCGCCGCGUGCGGGAUGACGGCCUUCGGGUUGUAAACCGCUUUCGCCUGUGACGAAGCGUGAGUGACGGUAAUGGGUAAAGAAGCACCGGCUAACUACGUG
rnacentral:rRNA from 1 species